GAUGAACGCUGGCGGCGUGCCUAAUACAUGCAAGUCGAGCGAACAGAUAAGGAGCUUGCUCCUUUGACGUUAGCGGCGGACGGGUGAGUUACACGUGGAUAACCUACCUAUAAGACUGGGAUAACUUCGGGAAACCGGAGCUAAUACCGGAUAACAUAUUGAACCGCAUGGUUCAAUAGUGAAAGGCGGCUUUGCUGUCACUUAUAGAUGGAUCCGCGCCGUAUUAGCUAGUUGGUAAGGUAACGGCUUACCAAGGCAACGAUACGUAGCCGACCUGAGAGGGGGAUCGGCCACACGGGAACUGAGACACGGUCCAGACUCCAAGGGGAGGCAGCGGUAGGGAAUCUUCCGAAAGGGCGAAAGCCUGACGGAGCAACGCCGCGUGAGUGAUGAAGGUCUUCGGAUCGUAAAACUCUGUUAUCAGGGAAGAACAAAUGUGUAAGUAACUGUGCACAUCUUGACGGUACCUGAUCAGAAAGCCACGGCUAACUACGUG
rnacentral:rRNA from 1 species